rnacentral:rRNA from 1 species
UUCCGGUUGAUCCCGCCGGACCUUGACUGGUUAUCGGAUUGAUAUUAACCAUGGGAUUCUUUGUAACCAAACAAGGCAGCGGCUCAUUAACGCGUAGUCCACCUUAACCUUAUGGACGGGAAUAAACCUCGGGGAAAUUGAAGUAUAAUGCCCGGAUAGAACACUAUACCCUGGAAUGGGUUUUGUGUUUCCAAAUGAUUUAUCGCCGUUAGGAUGGGACCUGCGGCCUAUCCAGUUUGUUGGUUGAGGUAAUGGCCCACCCAAGACUAUUACAGGUACGGGCUCUGAGAGGAGUAGCCCGGAGAUGGGUACUGAGACACGGACCCAGGCCCUAUGGGGCGCAGCAGGCGAGAAAACUUUGCAAUGUGCGAAAGCACGACAAGGUUAAUCCGAGUGAUUUGUGCUAAACGAAUCUUUUGUUAGUCCUAGAACCACUAACGAAUAAGGGUGGGCAAGUUCUGUGUCAGCCGCCGCGUUAAAACCAGCACCUCAAGUGGUCAGGAUGAUUAUUGGGCCUAAAGCAUCCGUAGCCGGCUCUGUAAGUUUUCGGUUAAUCUGUACGCUUAACGUACAGGCUGCCGGGAAUACUGCAGAGCUAGGGAGUGGGAGAGUAGACGGUACUCGGUAGGAAGGGGUAAAAUCCUUUGAUCUAUUGAUGACACCUGUGGCGAAGGCGGUCUAACAGAACACGUCCGACGGUGAGGGAUGAAAGCUGGGGGAGCAAACCGGAUUAAUACCCGGGUAUCCAGCUGUUAACUAUGCCAACUCAGUGAUGCAUUGACUUGUGGUCCAUGCAGUGCUGCAGGGAAGCCGUUAAGUUUGCCGCCUGGGAAGUACGUACGCAAGUAUGAACUUAAAGGAAUUGGCGGGGGAGCACCACAAGGGUGAGCCUGCGGUUCAAUUGGAUCAACGCCGG